GUAUGUAGUGAUUUUGUAAGAGCUUUGCAAAAUCAAAGUUUUUUUGGGUGAUUUUGGAAUUAGUGAAAUAAGAAAAAUAUUACAUUUUGGAGAAUUUUGUAAGUUUGGUAGUAGAUCUACAAUUCAGAUUUUGAAGACUUAUGUAAGUAGUUGUCUAAAGUAUAUGUGAUAACUUUGAGCUUCAUCAAAUAAUUGAGUAAAAGAUUAUUGAAUUUCAAGUAGGUUGAGAUCUUGGAAAUUAGAUUUUAAUGGGCAUUUAAGAUAUUCAAGAUCUUCACCGAUCUACUAAUUAGAUUGGAGUAAAAUUUAUGUGUGAGAGUAUAAGACUUAAUUUGCUAUAUAUACGUGAAAUUUAAGAACAAUUGAAUAGUUUGGAAAGGAGAUAAUGGUGUUGGAAGUUCAAUGUUUAGAUUGGAGUAGGAGGCCAUCCGAUACUCGAGUAGUUUUUAGGAUUUUUCUUCCAGUUGGUAAGUGCAAAUACCUUCAAAUUUUGUGUAUUUGUUGCCAACUUAAUUGUUGAAAAAUAUAUAAAAUUUUAGGCAAGAUCAAUGAUUUAAUUGAUAAAUAUUGAGAUUUUAAAUUAUGCUAGGAUUAGAUUGAGUUGAUUAGGUUUUGGAUAGGAUUUGAUUUAGGAUUAAAUUUGGAUUAGGAUUUAAGAUUUGGUUAGGAUUUAGAUUUGGAGUAGAAUUUAGAAUUUGAUUUAAGAUUUACUUAAGAUUUAGAGUUGAUGGUUUUUUUAGGAUUUAAGAUUUAAGAUAUGUUUAAGAUUUAGAAUUUAAGUUUUGGUAUAGG
rnacentral:lncRNA from 1 species